AGCUUUGCACGGUGGCAGUAUCAUAGCCAAUGAGGUUUAUCCGAGGUGGGAUUAUUGCUAAUUGAAAACUUUUCCCAACACCCUGAAAUGACGACUUGAAAUACAGUUGGCACUGGCAAUUUUUGGCAGACUCUACAGGGA